UACGAGGGGGGCGAGCGUUGUUCGGAAUUAUUGGGCGUAAAGGGGGCGUGGGCGGUUCCGCAAGUCCUGUGUGAAAUCUUCGGGCUCAACUCGAAGUCUGCACGGGAAACUGCGGGGCUUGAGUGUGGGAGAGGUGAGUGGAAUUCCCGGUGUAGCGGUGAAAUGCGUAGAUAUCAGGAGGAACACCGAUGGCGAAGGCAGGUCUCUGGGCCACUACUGACGCUGAGAAGCGAAAGCAUGGGGAGCAAACAGG
rnacentral:rRNA from 1 species